AUUGAACGCUGGCGGCGUGCUUAACACAUGCAAGUCGAGCGGCAGCGCGGGAGCAAUCCUGGCGGCGAGCGGCGAACGGGUGAGUAAUGCUUCGGAAUCUGCCCUUCAGUGGGGAAUAACCAGUCGAAAGACUGGCUAAUACCGCAUACGAACUGAGGUUGAAAGCAGGGGAUCGCAAGACCUUGCGCUGAUGGAUGAGCCGAAGUCGGAUUAGCUUGUUGGUGGGGUAAUGGCCUACCAAGGCGACGAUCCGUAGCUGGUCUGAGAGGACGACCAGCCACACUGGGACUGAGACACGGCCCAGACUCCUACGGGAGGCAGCAGUGGGGAAUAUUGGACAAUGGGGGCAACCCUGAUCCAGCGACGCCGCGUGUGUGAAGAAGGCCUGCGGGUUGUAAAGCACUUUUAGUGGGGAGGAAGGUCUGCGACCUAACACGUCGUGGAAUUGACUUAACCCACAGAAAAGCACCGGCUAACUCUGUGCC
rnacentral:rRNA from 1 species